GGAUGUGGCGGUUUAGUAGUUGGACCCUUUGCUCCAAAAGAAGUAAAGGAAUUGUGGUGGAAUGAGUUCAAGCGGAAGUUCAGGUGGGAUGAAGCGGAAGAGAAAGAAGUUAAAAGAAUUUUUAAGAAGAAAGCCGGUGAUCACAUGCGAAAUGUGAUGAAUAGAGCAAAGAGAAGACAAGAAAAGCCGGAUUUUAUUACAGCUGACAAUUGGGCGGAAAUCAAAAGAACUUGGGACACCGAAAAGCAUAAGCAAAUCAGUGAAA